rnacentral:rRNA from 1 species
GCAAGUCGAACGAUGAACCUAGCUUGCUAGGGGAUUAGUGGCGCACGGGUGAGUAAUUUAUAGAUAACGUGCCUCUUAGUCUGGGAUAGCCAUUGGAAACGAUGAUUAAUACUAGAUACUCCUUCUGAUUCUAAUUUCAGUCGGGAAAGUUUUUCGCUAAGAGAUCGGUCUAUAUCCCAUCAGUUAGUUGGUAAGGUAACGGCUUACCAAGGCAAUGACGGGUAGCGGGUUUGAGAGGAUGAGC